rnacentral:rRNA from 1 species
AUUGAACGCUGGCGGCAUGCCUAACACAUGCAAGUCGAGCGGUAGCGGGCAGUUUGCUCCUGGCUUCAGCGGCGGACGGGAGAGUUAUGCCUAGGAAUCUGCCUGGUAGGGGGGGAUAACGUCCGGAAAUGGGCUCUUAUACCGCAUACGCCACGAGGGAGAACGGGGGGGCGCUUCGCACCUCACGCUAUCAGAUGAGCCUAGGUCGGAUUAGCUAGUUGGUGGGGUAAAGGCCUACCAAGGCGACGAUCCGUAACUGGUCUGAGAGGAUGAUCAGCCACACUGGAACUGAGACACGGUCCAGACUCCUACGGGAGGCAGCAGUGGGGAAUAUUGGACAAUGGGCGCAAGCCUGAUCCAGCCAUGCCGCGUGUAUGAAGAAGGUCUUCGGAUUGUAAACCACUUUUAGUUGGGACGAAGAGCAGUAAGUUAAUACCGGGCUGUCUUGACGUUACCAUAAGAAUAAGCACCGGCUAACUACGUG